UACGAAGGGGGCUAGCGUUACUCGGAUUGACUGGGCGUAAAGGGCGCGUAGGCGGUUUGUACAGUCAGACGUGAAAUUCCUGGGCUCAACCUGGGGGCUGCGUUUGAUACGUGCGGACUUGAGUUCGGAAGAGGGUCGUGGAAUUCCCAGUGUAGAGGUGAAAUUCGUAGAUAUUGGGAAGAACACCGGUGGCGAAGGCGGCGACCUGGUCCGAUACUGACGCUGAGGCGCGAAAGCGUGGGGAGCGAACAGG
rnacentral:rRNA from 1 species